GCAAAUCUGAAAAAAGACGUCCCUAGUUCGGAUUGUAGGCUGAAACUCGCCUACAUGAAGCUGGAAUUGCUAGUAAUCGCAGGUCAGCAUACUGCGGUGAAUACGUUCCCGGGUCUUGUACGCACCGCCCGUCACACCAUGGGAGCCGGAAAUGCCCGAAGCCAGUGACCCAACCUUAGGGAGGGAGCUGUCGAAGGUGGAGCCGGUAACUGGGGUGAAGUCGUAACAAGGUACC
rnacentral:rRNA from 1 species